AAGAUUCUAGUAGAGCCGACAAUACACUGCUUUGUCAGAGCAGAGCCGUGGGUUAAAACCCCACGUAUCUUA
rnacentral:tRNA from 1 species